CACUUAGCGUAAGCUAGGUAUACUAAUUUAUUAGUAAGCGAACGAGGGGAAGUGAAACAUCUCAGUACCCUUAGGAAAAGACAUCAAUAGAGAUUCCCCUAGUAGCGGCGAGCGAACGGGGAGGAGCCGACGGAUUUAUAUGUAGAAGAACAGUGUGGGAAAACUGGCCAUAGUGGGUGAUAGCCCCGUAUUCGAAACAUAUAAUGAAGCAUAUUAAGUAGUGCGGAACACGAGAAAUUCUGUAUGAAGAUGGGGGGACCAUCCUCCAAGGCUAAAUACUCCUGACUGACCGAUAGUGAACCAGUACCGUGAGGGAAAGGCGAAAAGAACCCCUGUGAGGGGAGUGAAAUAGAACCUGAAACCGUGUGCGUACAAGCAGUGGGAGCCCACUUGUUGGGUGACCGCGUACCUUUUGUAUAAUGGGUCAGCGACUUAUAUUCUGUAGCAAGGUUAACCGUUAGGGGAGCCGUAGGGAAACCGAGUCUUAAUAGGGCGUAUAGUUGCAGGGUAUAGACCCGAAACCGAGUGAUCUAUCCAUGAGCAGGUUGAAAGUGCCGUAACAGGCACCGGAGGACCGAACCCACUGUCGUUGAAAAGCCAGGGGAUGACUUGUGGAUAGGGGUGAAAGGCUAAUCAAACUCGGUGAUAGCUGGUUCUCCCCGAAAGCUAUUUAGGUAGCGCCUCGGACGAACACCAUUGGGGGUAGAGCACUGUUUCGGCUAGGGGGUCAUACCGACUUACCAAACCGAUGCAAACUCCGAAUACCGAUGAGUGAUAUCCGGGAGACACACGGCGGGUGCUAACGUCCGUCGUGGAGAGGGAAACAACCCAGACCGCCAGCUAAGGCCCCAAAUUCCUAGUUAAGUGGGAAACGAAGUGGGAAGGCAUAGACAGCUAGGAGGUUGGCUUAGAAGCAGCCAUCCUUUAAAGAAAGCGUAAUAGCUCACUAGUCGAGUCGGCCCGCGCGGAAGAUGUAACGGGGCUCAAACUAGGAGCCGAAGCUGCGGAUUUGAAAAUUGUUUCAAGUGGUAGGGGAGCGUUGUGUAAGCCUGUGAAGGUGUGUCGUAAGGCAUGCUGGAGGUAUCACAAGAGCGAAUGCUGACGUGAGUAACGAUAAUGCGAGUGAAAAGCUCGCACGCCGGAAGAUCAAGGGUUCCAGUCCAACGUUAAUCGGGGCUGGGUGAGUCGACCCCUAAGGCGAGGCCGAAAGGCGUAGUCGAUGGGAAAUCGGUUAAUAUUCCGAUACUUGUUUAUGAUGUGAUGGAGGGACGGAGAAGGUUAUGCCAGCCUGGCGAUGGUUGUCCAGGUGGAAGGAUGUAGGUAGACGGCUUAGGCAAAUCCGGGCUGUUAAUACUGAGAUCUGAUAGCAAGCUGUACUUGUACAGCGAAGUGGCAAAUACCAUGCUUCCAGGAAAAGCUUCUAAACUAUAGUCAUAAACGAAUCGUACCCUAAACCGACACAGGUGAUCAGGUAGAGAAUACCAAGGCGCUUGAGAGAACUCUGCUGAAGGAACUAGGCAAAAUGGUACCGUAACUUCGGGAGAAGGUACGCUGUCGAUGGUGAAGGACUUGCUCCGUAAGCUAUUGACAGUCGCAGAUACCAGGCUGCUGCAACUGUUUAUUAAAAACACAGCACUCUGCAAACACGAAAGUGGACGUAUAGGGUGUGAUGCCUGCCCGGUGCUGGAAGGUUAAUUGAUGGGCUUAGCGUAUGCGAAGGUCUUGAUCGAAGCCCCAGUAAACGGCGGCCGUAACUAUAACGGUCCUAAGGUAGCGAAAUUCCUUGUCGGGUAAGUUCCGACCUGCACGAAUGGCAUAAUGAUGGCAGCGCUGUCUCCAGCAGAGACUCAGUGAAAUCGAAAUCGCAGUGAAGAUGCUGUGUACCCGCGGCUAGACGGAAAGACCCCGUGAACCUUUACUACAGCUUUACAUUGAACUUUGACCUGACUUGUGCAGGAUAGGUGGGAGGCUUUGAAGCAGAUACGCCAGUAUUUGUGGAGCCAUCCUUGAAAUACCACCCUGGUCAUGUUGGGGUUCUAACUCAGGUAUAACAAUACCGAGGACAAUGUAUGGUGGGU
rnacentral:rRNA from 1 species